AUUGAACGCUGGCGGCAGGCCUAACACAUGCAAGUCGAGCGGAUGAAGGGAGCUUGCUCCUGGAUUCAGCGGCGGACGGGUGAGUAAUGCCUAGGAAUCUGCCUGGUCGUGGGGGAUAACGUCCGGAAACGGGCGCUAAUACCGCAUACGUCCUGAUGGAGAAAGUGGGGGAUCUUCGGACCUCACGCUAUCAGAUGAGCCUAGGUCGGAUUAGCUAGUUGGUGGGGUAAAGGCCUACCAAGGCGACGAUCCGUAACUGGUCUGAGAGGAUGAUCAGUCACACUGGAACUGAGACACGGUCCAGACUCCUACGGGAGGCAGCAGUGGGGAAUAUUGGACAAUGGGCGAAAGCCUGAUCCAGCCAUGCCGCGUGUGUGAAGAAGGUCUUCGGAUUGUAAAGCACUUUAAGUUGGGAGGAAGGGCAGUAAGUUAAUACCUUGCUGUUUUGACGUUACCAACAGAAUAAGCACCGGCUAACUUCGUG
rnacentral:rRNA from 1 species